AUUGAACGCUGGCGGCAUGCCUUACACAUGCAAGUCGAACGGCAGCACGGGAGCAAUCCUGGUGGCGAGUGGCGAACGGGUGAGUAAAGUAUCGGAACGUGCCCAGUCGUGGGGGGUAACGUAGCGAAAGUUACGCUAAUACCGCAUACGAUCUAUGGAUGAAAGCGGGGGAUCGCAAGACCUCGCGCGAUUGGAGCGGCCGAGAUCAGAUUAGGUAGUUGGUGGGGUAAAGGCUCACCAAGCCGACGAUCUGUAGCUGGUCUGAGAGGACGAACAGCCACACGGGGACUGAGACACGGCCCAGACUCCUACGGGAGGCAGCAGUGGGGAAUUUUGGACAAUGGGCGAAAGCCUGAUCCAGCCAUGCCGCGUGCAGGAUGAAGGCCUUCGGGUUGUAAACUGCUUUUGUACGGAACGAAAAGGUUUGGGCUAAUAAGCUGAGCUCAUGACGGUACCGUAAGAAUAAGCACCGGCUAACUACGUGCCAGCCGCCGCGGUAA
rnacentral:rRNA from 1 species